UCGGAUCCAUCACAUCAACAGUUAACAGUUAUUAAGCGUUUACUCUGGGCCUGGCUUUUAGGCUUGAGGUCUCUUUCAAGCCUCGCAUCAGCAGCCCCACCUCCGGGAGCAGCGCCCCCGCAUCCCUCAGGCUCUAGCCUGCGGUACUGUUUUCUGCCAGAAGAGGCACUGCGGGGCGGUGCCCAUCCGUUCCCACAGCUCCGGGAAGACCCGGGCAGAGGAGGCUUAGCCCCCUCCCCUCCCGCUUCUUCUGCCUCGUCCUCCUCCUCGUCCUCUCCUCGUCCUCCUCCUCGUCUUCCUCCUCGUCCUCCUCCUCCUCGUCCUCCUCCUCCUCCUCCUCCUCCUCCUCCUCCUCCUCCUCCUGCUCCUCCUCCUCCCCGUCCUCCUCUUCUUCCUCCUCCGGGUCUGAGGGCGGCGGUCUCCGACUCAAGACCCUGGGGCUCCGGGUCUUCUCAGCAGCCGCCGCAACAGCCGCGGCGACGUCACUGUCCUCGCGGCCUGGCACACAGCGCUCCGACCGCCGAUGCCCGUGGACGCGCAUCUCUUCCCAGAGUUCCUGCUUCCUGGGCCAGCCAAAGCCGCAGUAAAUGAGGCCUUGAGAGAAGAGGAGGCGAUAUACCCUGUGCCCGAGAUGCAGCUGCCGUUGGUGACGUGACAAGUGCCAGUGUUAGUGCCAGUUCCAGUUCCAGGGCCUAUGCCAUGGCUGAAGCAAGCAUCAGCACCAGCACCAAUGCAAGUGCCAGUGCCAGGGCUAGAGGCAUGGCUGGAGCAAUGAUCAGUAUCCGGGACAGUGCCAGUGCUGGUUGCAGUCUCAGGCUAGUGUCAGGGACUCCUCCUGCCAGCGGUGAAGGCUGAAGCUGAGCCUUCACUUUGUUUUUCUGUGGGUAGUCGAAAGGGCCCCACAGCGGUGGGCACUGGGGCCCUGACUUUUCGAGAGUCGAGGGGUAGAGUGGGGUUAGGGAGAACAUGCCGCCCAUGGUGUCUGUGUUCCAGUUCUACUUGUGUUUCUCAGUGAUUUAGCCUUCAAUUUGCAUAUUGCAAAGUUCUGUUUGCCUUAACUUGUUUUAAAAUGAUAAUUAACUUACAGGAAAUAAACCGGUUAAGACUACAUGGUGAUAUAAUUAU
rnacentral:lncRNA from 13 species